rnacentral:lncRNA from 1 species
GCUCGGAUCCAGACUUAGGUAUUUGAGGAGAAAUAUCUGAGCGUACUAUAAAAAAAACUUAUUUAAGUUAUUGUAUCUAAAAGGUAUUUGAUCCGUCACUCCAUAUAUAUAUAAGUUAAACAACACCCGCACGGGUGUCCGGGUCAAAAUCUAAUUAUUUAUUAAAGAAACUGUUUACACUAUAAAUAUAGACAUAUAAUAUUCAUAAAACACGUUAUUAAAACUAUUGAACACAAGAACACACUUUGAGUCUUCUUCUCAUUUUAAUAUUUCUAAGAUUAGAACCGUAUAGUUUCAGUGGUUUUAAACUCAACUUGCUGGGGUGAGAUUAAUUCUGCUACGGACAUAUGCAGAAGAAUCUUAAGAAGAUUAAAAAAGAAUAGGUUCUGAGAAACUAUGUUAUGAAGUUUUUUACAAAAAAAAAAGAAUAUAUGUUAUGAAGUCUGAGAAGUUUUUGAUUUGUUGGGUUUUUUAUAUAUCAAUUUCUAGGGUUUUGAAUAUUUUAGUUUUAUGUUGAAUCAUUUGGAUAAUCAAUAAAAUGGUGUUAACAUUACUUCGCUAUAACAGGAAGCAGCAUCAUGAUAGAUUGUAUAACUUGGCUUCACAUAUGGUCACGUAAAAGGCUAACAAAAAUUAAACAAAUUGAAAUAUAAAUAUUCAAUAGUAAUAUGCUGGAGAU